rnacentral:rRNA from 1 species
UGAGGAAUAUUGGUCAAUGGACGAGAGUCUGAACCAGCCAAGUAGCGUGCAGGAUGACGGCCCUAUGGGUUGUAAACUGCUUUUGUUUGGGAAUAAUCGACAUUACGUGUAAUGUUUUGCAUGUACCAUUCGAAUAAGGACCGGCUAAUUCCGUGCCAGCAGCCGCGAUAAUACGGAAGGUCCAGGCGUUAUCCGGAUUUAUUGGGUUUAAAGGGAGUGUAGGCGGUUGGUUAAGCGUGUUGUGAAAUGUAGGAGCUCAACUUCUAGAUUGCAGCGCGAACUGUCAGACUUGAGUGCGCACAACGUAGGCGGAAUUCAUGGUGUAGCGGUGAAAUGCUUAGAUAUCAUGAAGAACUCCGAUUGCGAAGGCAGCUUACGGGAGCGCAACUGACGCUGAAGCUCGAAGGUGCGGGUAUCGAACAGG